rnacentral:rRNA from 1 species
UAAUAGCUCACUGGUCGAGUCGGCCUGCGCGGAAGAUGUAACGGGGCUAAACCAUGCACCGAAGCUGCGGCAGCGACGCUGAUGCGUUGUUGGGUAGGGGAGCGUUCUGUAAGCCUGUGAAGGUGGCCUGUGAGGGUUGCUGGAGGUAUCAGAAGUGCGAAUGCUGACAUAAGUAACGAUAAAGCGGGUGAAAAGCCCGCUCGCCGGAAGACCAAGGGUUCCUGUCCAACGUUAAUCGGGGCAGGGUGAGUCGACCCCUAAGGCGAGGCCGAAAGGCGUAGUCGAUGGGAAACGGGUUAAUAUUCCCGUACUUGGUGUUACUGCGAAGGGGGGACGGAGAAGGCUAUGUUGGCCGGGCGACGGUUGUCCCGGUUUAAGCGUGUAGGUGUGUGUUCCAGGUAAAUCCGGUUCACUUUAACACUGAGGCGUGAUGACGAGGCACUACGGUGCUGAAGCAACAAAUGCCCUGCUUCCAGGAAAAGCCUCUAAGCAUCAGGUAACAUCAAAUCGUACCCCAAACCGACACAGGUGGUCAGGUAGAGAAUACCAAGGCGCUUGAGAGAACUCGGGUGAAGGAACUAGGCAAAAUGGUGCCGUAACUUCGGGAGAAGGCACGCUGACACGUAGGUGAAGUGAUUUACUCACGGAGCUGAAGUCAGUCGAAGAUACCAGCUGGCUGCAACUGUUUAUUAAAAACACAGCACUGUGCAAACACGAAAGUGGACGUAUACGGUGUGACGCCUGCCCGGUGCCGGAAGGUUAAUUGAUGGGGUCAGCGCAAGCGAAGCUCCUGAUCGAAGCCCCGGUAAACGGCGGCCGUAACUAUAACGGUCCUAAGGUAGCGAAAUUCCUUGUCGGGUAAGUUCCGACCUGCACGAAUGGCGUAAUGAUGGCCAGGCUGUCUCCACCCGAGACUCAGUGAAAUUGAACUCGCUGUGAAGAUGCAGUGUACCCGCGGCAAGACGGAAAGACCCCGUGAACCUUUACUAUAGCUUGACACUGAACAUUGAGCCUUGAUGUGUAGGAUAGGUGGGAGGCUUUGAAGUGUGGACGCCAGUCUGCAUGGAGCCGACCUUGAAAUACCACCCUUUAAUGUUUGAUGUUCUAACGUGGACCCGUGAUCCGGGUUGCGGACAGUGUCUGGUGGGUAGUUUGACUGGGGCGGUCUCCUCCUAAAGAGUAACGGAGGAGCACGAAGGUUGGCUAAUCCUGGUCGGACAUCAGGAGGUUAGUGCAAUGGCAUAAGCCAGCUUGACUGCGAGCGUGACGGCGCGAGCAGGUGCGAAAGCAGGUCAUAGUGAUCCGGUGGUUCUGAAUGGAAGGGCCAUCGCUCAACGGAUAAAAGGUACUCCGGGGAUAACAGGCUGAUACCGCCCAAGAGUUCAUAUCGACGGCGGUGUUUGGCACCUCGAUGUCGGCUCAUCACAUCCUGGGGCUGAAGUAGGUCCCAAGGGUAUGGCUGUUCGCCAUUUAAAGUGGUACGCGAGCUGGGUUUAGAACGUCGUGAGACAGUUCGGUCCCUAUCUGCCGUGGGCGCUGGAGAACUGAGGGGGGCUGCUCCUAGUACGAGAGGACCGGAGUGGACGCAUCACUGGUGUUCGGGUUGUCAUGCCAAUGGCACUGCCCGGUAGCUAAAUGCGGAAGAGAUAAGUGCUGAAAGCAUCUAAGCACGAAACUUGCCCCGAGAUGAGUUCU